CACCAUGUGGCCAACUGGUAACGCUUUUGUCUUUCACCCACAAGGUCCCGGGUUCAAUUCCACCUGGUGG